GCCGGGUGUGGUGAUGCACACCUGUAAUCCCUGUCAAUCAGGAGGCUGAGGCAGGAAGAUAGCAAGUUCAAGGGCAGCCUGAGCAACUUAGUGUCUCAA
rnacentral:sRNA from 1 species